CAGGGAAAUUUUCAAGGACAAGAACCAGUGCUGGUAAAAAUGUGGUCUCAUGUGGUUUUCCAUACCGGCAUUCAGCAAGGAUUUCAGAGAAAGGAAUACUGUCUCCAAAUCAUGAUGUGCCAAUAAGCCCCAGUUAGCUGUGCCUUUUUCCUCCCACCAAUAGUCCUUCAAUCUGAAUCCAGGAGAUGCAGCUCUGAAUCCAAUAUUUCAGGAGAAUGAAUAUAAAACUGAAGCCUUCAGGAAGUCAAUGCCACCAUGGUAUUGAUUUAUUCAGCUCUGAUGUACUCAGCUGUGAUGUAACAUGCCUUCAAGCCACUAUCCGAAGAACAUUCAGACGUUCUAAAUGGACCAUUGCCCUGUUGCCAUGGAAAUCAUUAUGAGGAGGAGCACACAAACUGUCACUUGUUUUGGAUAUCAGAUGUACCACGAACUGACCAUAAACUUUUCAGAUGCUCUGUUUAUUUCAUCAGCCAAUUUCGAUGUAAAUUUUACUGAAUA